rnacentral:rRNA from 1 species
GACGAACGCUGGCGGCGUGCUUAACACAUGCAAGUCGAGCGGUAAGGCCCUUUCGGGGUACACGAGCGGCGAACGGGUGAGUAACACGUGGGUGACCUGCCCUUACGCUCUGGGGAUAAGCCUGGGAAACUGGGUCUAAUACCGGAUAUGACUCCAUGACGCAUGUUGUGGGGUGGAAAGCCUUGUGCGGCUAGGGGAUGGGGCCCGCGGCCUAUCAGCUUGUUGGUGGGGUGAGGCCUACCAAGGCGACGACGGGUAGCCGGCCUGAGA